UUGACCUCAAAUCAGGUAGGAAUACCCGCUGAACUUAAGCAUAUCAAUAAGCGGAGGAAAAGAAACUAACAAGGAUUCCCCUAGUAACUGCGAGUGAAGCGGGAAAAGCUCAAAUUUGAAAUCUGGCAGUCUUUUUUUUCUUCUUUGGCUGUCCGAGUUGUAAUCUAGAGAAGUGCUUACCUGC
rnacentral:rRNA from 1 species